UGUUUAAAAUUUUAUUUAUUUCUACUGUUAAAAACUGUCAUAAUUGAUAGAAUAACGAGACAAAUACGCGUAACUUGUCAUAUGUACCUCACUCUAAUAUAGUAGAAAUGGAUGGAAUUUUUAACA
rfam:Gossypium hirsutum cultivar TM-1 chromosome 19, whole genome shotgun sequence